GGGAAGAUGGCUCAGUGGUAGAGCGCGUGCCUUGCAUGCCUGAGGCCCUGGGUU
rnacentral:tRNA from 1 species